AGAAGUCUCACAUUCUAAAAAAAUUACCUUCUCAUGCAUAUAUCUCUAAAGAUCAUGAUUCUUUUGGGGAGGGAAGCAUUAGAGUAAAUGAUUAUUAUCAAGCACCCCCUAGAAGACAUAGAGGAGAUAGAAAAGAACAAGAAAACCCAAGAGAGGUUAGGGUAGAACAACCCCAUUUCCAUGGAAAAGAAAAUAUAGAAGCUUGCCUAGAUUGGGAAAUGAGGGUAGAAAAAUUGUUUGCUUC
rnacentral:lncRNA from 1 species